UGGCAUUGACAUAAACGCUACCGUGGGCGUGAACGUAAUUUACUUUCUAUGCAUCUCGCUCGUACUGACAUAUUAGUGCGAAAAAGAUAUACCUAUAGGAAGUAAAUUACCCGUACGGAACACUAAAUGCCUCGAGCUAUCUCGGGCUUGGCCAAAUUAUUUUCAAA